rnacentral:rRNA from 1 species
GUGUCAGCAGCCGCGGUAAAACGUAGGAGGCGAGCGUUAUCCGGAUUUACUGGGCGUAAAGCGCGUGCAGGCGGUUCGAUAAGUUGGAUGUGAAAGCUCCCGGCUCAACUGGGAGAGGUCGUUCAAGACUGUCGGACUUGAGUGUGGUAGAGGGAGGUGGAAUUCCGGGUGUAGUGGUGAAAUGCGUAGAUAUCCGGAGGAACACCAGUGGCGAAAGCGGCCUCCUGGACCACAACUGACGCUCAGACGCGAAAGCUAGGGUAGCAAACGGGAUUAGAGACCCCGGUAGUCCUAGCCGUAAACGAUGUAGACUUGGCGUUGGCGGGUUUAAAUCCGUCAGUGCCGCAGCAAACGCGAUAAGUCUACCGCCUGGGGACUACGGCCGCAAGGUUAAA